rnacentral:lncRNA from 1 species
UCCUUCUUCAUCAAACUCCACGUCCCGACUUAUCACAAGCUUGUUAGUAUCUGGAUUAUAUAGUUUGUAGCCUUUGGAGUUGGAAUCAUACCCGAUAAAGAUGAACGCGUUACUUUUGUCAUCGAGCUUGCUCCGUGUCUCGUCAGGUACAUGUGCGUAUGCUUUGCUUCCAAAGACUCUUAGAUAGGAGAUUCCUGGCUUCCUUCCACUCCAAGCUUCUUGUAGUGUCUUUCCCCACACGCUCCUUGAUGGUGAUCGGUUGAGUAGGUAGACUGCACAAGCUACUGCUUCGGCCCAGAAUUCCUUUGGUAGCUUCUUGCUCUUUAGCAUACUCCGCGCCAUGUCUAGAAUUGUCCGGUUCUUCCUUUCCGCCAUUCCAUUUUGUUGGGGGGACCUUGGUACCGUUAGUGGACGCCUUAUUCCAUGCUCCUCACAAAAAUUCUGGAACUCUCUAGAAGUGAACUCGCCUAUCCAAAGACUCUUAGAUGGGAGAUUCCUGGCUUCCUUCCACUCCAAGCUUCUUGUGGUGUUUUUCCCCACACGCUCCUUGUUGGUGAUCGGUUGAGUAGAUAGACUGCACACGCUACUGCUUCG